rnacentral:rRNA from 1 species
UUAAGCAUAUCAAUAAGCGGAGGAAAAGAAACCAACAGGGAUUGCCCUAGUAACGGCGAGUGAAGCGGCAACAGCUCAGAUUUGAAAUCUGGUCCAUUAGGGCCCGAGUUGUAAUCUGUAGAGGAUGCUUUUGGUGAGGUGCCUUCUAAGUCCCCUAGAACGGGGCGCCAUAGAGGGUGAGAGCCCCGUACAGUUGGACACCGAACCUCUGUAAAGCUCCUUCGACGAGUCGAGUAGUUUGGGAAUGCUGCUCAAAAUGGGAGGUAAAUUUCUUCUAAAGCUAAAUACCGGCCAGAGACCGAUAGCGCACAAGUAGAGUGAUCGAAAGAUGAAAAGCACUUUGAAAAGAGGGUUAAAUAGCACGUGAAAUUGUUGAAAGGGAAGCGCUUGUGACCAGACUUGCGCCCGGUGAAUCAUCCAGCGUUCUCGCUGGUGCACUUUGCCGGGCUCAGGCCAGCAUCGGUUCUUCCAGGGGGAUAAAAGCCUCGGGAACGUAGCUCCCUUCGGGGAGUGUUAUAGCCCGUGGGUACAAUACCUCUGGGGGGACCGAGGACCGCGCUCUGCAAGGAUGCUGGCGUAAUGGUCAUCAGCGACCCGUCUUGAAACACGGACCAAGGAGUCAAGCAUUAGGGCGAGUCUUUGGGUGUAAAACCCGCAGGCGCAAUGAAAGUGAACGGAGGUGAGAGCUUCGGCGCAUCAUCGACCGAUCCUGAUGUUCUCGGAUGGAUUUGAGUAAGAGCCUUACCGCUUGGACCCGAAAGAUGGUGAACUAUGCCUGAAUAGGGUGAAGCCAGAGGAAACUCUGGUGGAGGCUCGCAGCGGUUCUGACGUGCAAAUCGAUCGUCAAAUUUGGGCAUGGGGGCGAAAGACUAAUCGAACCAUCUAGUAGCU